rnacentral:piRNA from 1 species
UGAGAACCAAUGAGAUAGAUGGAUCAGCUU